rnacentral:lncRNA from 1 species
AUGUGGCACCCCAGAAGCCACCCACCUGUGGACCCGGGUCCACCACAGCACACGCAAUGCCACACAAACACAGCACAGUACACACCACCACACACAUCCACAGCACAGUUACACCAUGCCCCACACACUGUGACACACACACAUCACAAUACAUCCAUCACACACAUAGUCACACCAUCCCCACACACCACCACACAAACUCACCACACACAUCUAUCACCACACACACAGUCACACCAUCCCCACAUACCACCACACACAAACACACCACACACAGUUACACCAUCCCCCACACACCGUGACACAAACACAUCAUACACAGUUACACCAUCCCCCACACACCAUGACACACAACACAUAUCACACAUCCAUCACACACACAGUUAUACCAUCCCCCACACACCAUCACACACGCAAACACACCACACACAUCCAUCACACACGGUCACACCAUCCCCACACACCGCCACAUACAAACACACCACACACAUCCAUCACACACGGUCACACCAUCCCCACACACCGCCACAUACAAACACACCACACACAUCCAUCACACACAGUCACACCAUCCCCACACACCACCACACACAAACACACCACACACAUCCAUCACACACACACAGUCACACCAUCCCCACACACCGCCACACACAAACACAUCACACAGUUACACCAUCCCCCACACACCGUGACACGCACACACAUUACACACACAUACAGUUACACCAUGUCCCACACACCACCACACACACAAACACACCACACACAUCCACAUCACACACACACAGUCACACCGUCCGCACACUCCACCACACACCCAAAUACGCCACACACAUCCGCAGCGCACACUAUGACCAUACGCCCCAGCCACACACACACCCCACAAGACACUCGCACACAGAGCACACACACGUAGUGGAUGAGCCCGGUUUCGAGCCCCGAGGGCCUGGCCACCGCUGGAAUAGGCCGUGGGCAGUGGCAGGGCGGGCCAGGGUCUGCCUUCCCGUGAACUGCCUUUCAGAUCAGGGCACCACGGUGGAGUCCCACAGGCGGCUGGGAAGAGCCGGAGGAGCUGAGGUUUCGGGGAGCCCCACUCUGCCCUCCGGGGGCUGCCGCCCCGCCCGCGCUGGCCUCAGCCACCCCCCUCCCGAGCUCCCUCCCACCCUCCCCAGCCUCCUGCCCCAGCCAGGCUGUACCCGCCCCCGGUGCCCCUGCGCCCCGGCAGCGCCCUGCUGUGCCAUGCCCCACGCUGGCCCUGGGGAGGUGUUCGCCGGAUAA